rnacentral:rRNA from 1 species
GAUGAACGCUGGCGGCGUGCCUAAUACAUGCAAGUCGAGCGAACAGACGAGGAGCUUGCUCCUCUGACGUUAGCGGCGGACGGGUGAGUAACACGUGGAUCACCUACUUAUAAGACUGGGAUAACUUCGGGAAACCGGAGAUAAUACCGGAUAAUAUAUUGAACCGCAUGGUUCAAUAGUGAAAGACGGCUUUGCUGUCACUUAUAGAUGGAUCCGCGCCGCAUUAGCUAGUUGGUAAGGUAACGGCUUACCAAGGCAACGAUGCGUAGCCGACCUGAGAGGGUGAUCAGCCACACUGGAACUGAGACACGGUCCAGACUCCUACGGGAGGCAGCAGUAGGGAAUCUUCCGCAAUGGGCGAAAGCUUGACGGAGCAACGCCGCGUGAGUGAUGAAGGUCUUCGGAUCGUAAAACUCUGUUAUUAGGGAAGAACAAAUGUGUAAGUAACUAUGCACGUCUUGACGGUACCUAAUCAGAAAGCCACGGCUAACUACGUG